rnacentral:Y_RNA from 1 species
AGCUGGUUGGAAGGUAGUGAGUUAGCUCAGUUGGUUGUUCACAGUCAAUACACUCAAUUACAGAUGAAUUUCUUUGUUCUACUCUUUACCCCUUCUCACUACAGCACUUGACUAGUCCUAA